rnacentral:rRNA from 1 species
AUUCCGCUGAAUUUAAGCAUAUAAGUAAGUGGUGGAAAUUAAACCAACUGGGAUCUCUUCAGUAAUUGCGCAUGAACCAGGAUAUGCUUAGCUUGACAAAUGGAGCUGCUGGCUCUGAAUUGUAUUGUGGGAAUGUAUUACCAACAGAGGUGCAGGUCACACUCCUUGGCAUUGGAAUGCAAAGUGGGUGGUAAGUUUCAUGCAAAGGUAAAUAUGCAAUUGAGACUGAUAGCGCACAAGUACCAUGAGGGACAUAUGAAAAGGACUUUGAAAAGAGAAUUAAAUGAGUUUGUAUUUGCUAAACACAAAGUAAACAGACUUGAUUUCCUCAGUGAGAUUGUAGUGCUUGCUUAACAAUGGGUUUUGGCUGCAAGUGCAAUAAUUCUUGCUUUGUGUGCCCGUUUUUAUGUGGACAUUUGAUUACCUUUGCACAUGAAUGGUAAUUUUCCUGCGGGGUGUGGAUUGCAUAUGCAUGUAAUGAUUUGCAUGUUUGUUAAAUGUGUCUGGUGUAUUUGUUUGUGUCCUUGUCCUUGAGGUUGCUUUCUCCCUUGGGCUUACAUGCCCUGGCACACACAUUCUGGCAAAAUGCUUCUGCUUGACCCGUCUUGAAAAU